UACGUAGGGUGCGAGCGUUAAUCGGAAUUACUGGGCGUAAAGCGUGCGCAGGCGGUUUUGUAAGUCUGUCGUGAAAUCCCCGGGCUUAACCUGGGAAUUGCGAUGGAGACUGCAAGGCUAGAAUCUGGCAGAGGGGGGUAGAAUUCCGACGUGUGAGCAGUGAAAUGCGUAGAGAUGUGGAGGAACACCGAUGGCGAAGGCAGCCCCCUGGGUCAAGAUUGACGCUCCAUGCACGAAAGGCGUGGGGAGCAAACGAGGAUACGAAACCGUAGUGAGACC
rnacentral:rRNA from 1 species